rnacentral:rRNA from 2 species
UCAGGUAGGGAUACCCGCUGAACUUAAGCAU